rnacentral:rRNA from 1 species
UACAGAGGGGGCAAGCGUUGUUCGGAAUUACUGGGCGUAAAGGGCGCGUAGGCGCCUUCUAAGUCGAACGUGAAAUCCCUGGGCUCAACCCAGGAACUGCGUCCGAUACUGGAAGGCUUGAAUCCGGGAGAGGGAUGCGGAAUUCCAGGUGUAGCGGUGAAAUUCGUAGAUAUUCGGAAGGAACACCAGUGGCGAAGGCGGCUCUACGUGGACCUAUUGUACGCUGAGGUGCGAAAAGCGUGGGGGAGCAAAACAGG